UACGUAGGGUGCGAGCGUUGUCCGGAAUUAUUGGGCGUAAAGAGCUCGUAGGCGGUCUGUCGCGUCGAUCGUGAAAACUUGGGGCUUAACCCUGAGCUUGCGGUCGAUACGGGCAUGACUGGAGUUCGGCAGGGGAGACUGGAAUUCCUGGUGUAGCGGUGAAAUGCGCAGAUAUCAGGAGGAACACCCGUGGCGAAGGCGGCUCUCUGGAACGCAACUGACGCUGAGACGCGAAAGCGUGGGGAGCAAACAGG
rnacentral:rRNA from 1 species